UUGAACGCUGGCGGCAGGCCUAACACAUGCAAGUCGAGCGGAUGAAGGGAGCUUGCUCCUGGAUUCAGCGGCGGACGGGUGAGUAAUGCCUAGGAAUCUGCCUGGUAGUGGGGGAUAACGUCCGGAAACGGGCGCUAAUACCGCAUACGUCCUGAGGGAGAAAGUGGGGGAUCUUCGGACCUCACGCUAUCAGAUGAGCCUAGGUCGGAUUAGCUAGUUGGUGGGGUAAAGGCCUACCAAGGCGACGAUCCGUAACUGGUCUGAGAGGAUGAUCAGUCACACUGGAACUGAGACACGGUCCAGACUCCUACGGGAGGCAGCAGUGGGGAAUAUUGGACAAUGGGCGAAAGCCUGAUCCAGCCAUGCCGCGUGUGUGAAGAAGGUCUUCGGAUUGUAAAGCACUUAAAGUUGGGAGGAAGGGCAGUAAGUUAAUACCUUGCUGUUUUGACGUUACCAACAGAAUAAGCACCGGCUAACUUCGUG
rnacentral:rRNA from 1 species